rnacentral:rRNA from 1 species
GACGAACGCUGGCGGCGUGCUUAACACAUGCAAGUCGAACGCUGAAGCUCAGCUUUUGUUGGGUGGAUGAGUGGCGAACGGGUGAGUAACACGUGAGUAACCUGCCUCCUUCUUUGGGAUAACGCCCGGAAACGGGUGCUAAUACUGGAUAUUCACUGGUCUUCGCAUGGGGGUUGGUGGAAAGGGUUUUUCUGGUGGGGGAUGGGCUCGCGGCCUAACAGCUUGUUGGUGGGGUGAUGGCCUACCAAGGCUUUGACGGGUAGCCGGCCUGAGAGGGUGACCGGUCACAUUGGGACUGAGAUACGGCCCAGACUCCUACGGGAGGCAGCAGUGGGGAAUAUUGCACAAUGGGCGCAAGCCUGAUGCAGCGACGCCGCGUGAGGGAUGGAGGCCUUCGGGUUGUGAACCUCUUUCGCUCAUGGUCAAGCCGCAACAAUGGUUGUGGUGAGGGUAGUGGGUAAAGAAGCGCCGGCUAACUACGUG